AAACUGCUGACGGAUCUAAAGUUGCUGACGACUUACACGGCUACUAAACGCUAGCGCCACCACCAAAUUGUGGUGAUAAGGAAAUGAGCUAUCGACAUUUCCGUGGUGCAUCUAUUGCCCGUUUCUAUUUGUAAACACUCAAAAUGGCCGCCCCCUGUCACCUCUGUGGGAGUAGUGCUAGAAAUCUCUAUCUGUUAUCCGGGAGGAAGAAAAGCGAGGAUGUUCUUGAAGUGAUAACUGCCAACUUUAGUUUUGUAUCUAUAAUAAAGAAAAGUAUACAGAAAUUGUUGGAGGACAUUAGAGCUUUUCGCAGGUCUUAAAAGAUCAUUUGCUAUAGGUACUACGGGACGUAAUCGCUGCGUGGAAUUGCCACAGUAACGUGAAAAGAAACAAAUGACCACUUUCUACGAGUUGUAUGUCUAAAGAGUGACUAUGCUAUAUAUUCUUUUUCUUUUGUUUUUGCUAUUUCUAUACUAAAUUCAUUUUAGAAACAUUCUGGUGAAUGCUAAAAGAUAUAUUGUAAAAAGUGCUUUGUCACCAUUUUGUUUAAAGGGUGGGGCGUAGAUGUAACCGAUUUUUGUUUAAACACACGUUUUCAGCUGUAUUUCAGGUUAUAUUAAGAUAGUGGGCCCGUAACGGUAAUGUUUAACAAAUGCAUUAAUUGAUACAGUCUUGAAGUUAACACUCUUUCGCACUGUGUUGCACCUUUAAACGACUUUUACUGUGUCGUUGUUGUUUGAUUUUUUUUUAUUUGUUAAUCUUGUAUAAAUUAUGUUUUUCCUCCAGCUGAAACAGAGACAAGUUUCAGAGUGAUAGGCAUUGCGCAAAACGAUCGCAGAGAAGUCAUUUUACCUCAUAUUUUUCUAAAUGAAACCUCAAAGUAUUGCGUAACAAUUAUAAAACACAAAAUAAAAUUGUCGAUAUCAAUUUUUCUUCGGAGCCUCGAGUAAGAGAAUUUAAAUUUUAAUCGGACAGAAAUUAAGCUCCAACUCUUAAGAAUUAUAGCCUUGCUUUCUGCAUUCAAAAAGAACCAUGGGGCAGAAGUAAAACCUACCUACAUUUCUUCCAAACUUUGUAAACUAAAGAAUAGAUGCAAAAUCAAGAACUUAUGCAAAAUGUAACAAAGUAUUUUCAAAGGUGUCUAAACAUUCACCCUUCAGGUUAAAUUCAUUUUAAACAGCAAGAAAUGGCUAAUCAAAUGAAACAUUUCCGCUUUUGUACGA